AUGGAAAAUUCUGUUUCAGCCAUCCUUUUGGGGUUGUAUUAUGGAAAUUCAGUGGCCGUUAAUUCGCAUAUUCGAAUUACACAGACAGAUAUCCACAUUUAAAAAUAAAGUCAUAGAGAUAUAACUUCUGUUUUUUUCCCCGGUAGUUUUGGACUCUUUUAGCUCAGUUUAUUCUCACUAAUGAGGGCCUAAUAUAAAGUGUUUUGAAGCCCGAGUUGUACAGUAUAAAAUGUAAAGUGUGUAUGAAAGGACGCUAAAAAUGUAAAUACGUCUUUGCUAAAAGUUAGGUUUGAGAAGAUACGUGGGUAUUUCGAAGAAAUAUAGUGACUGAUAGCGAGAUGUUAGGAGUGAAAGUGGCCGACCUUACUCGGGUUGGCGAUAAAAAGCGAUGUGAACGAAAAUGAGACCGAGUUCGAAAUCCAAAUAUAAAAAUCCUCAAUGCAAUUCGAAUACGACGGAGAUUCCGGGGUUAGGAAUUAUAAGGAAAUAAGAAAAAAAAUAAAUUGGAAUAAGUAUAUUGUAUAUUCGAGUACAGUUCGAAUUUAUUCAUUUCAAACACUGUAUAUUCGUUAUAAUAUG